ensembl:antisense Dlx1as distal-less homeobox 1, antisense
AGCUCAGAGAUGCAAAAAGCCUGCGGCGCUCUGGAGGCGCCUGGUCCUGGGGACCUCUUUCCUCCACUCUGUUCUCAGCAUAGGAAGAUGGGGCUGGGGAAUUCUUUUUGGUUUUCUGGUUUUGUUUUGCUCUGGUUUUGGUCGGGGUUUUGUAUUUUUCUAUUCUUCCUUGGUUUUAUUUUUUCCUUUUUUUCCUUUUUUUUUCUUUUGCUUUCCUGUCAUUCUCCCAGCCAAAAGCCGCCUUCGACCCUUUUGAUUUGAUGUAGCAAAGAGUGUGUGUCCAGAUUAUCUGAAAUAGACACUGAAGAAGCUACAUAGAUGGUCAAGCAGGGCCCGGAAGAAGACCAUUCAGGAAAAAGUGGUCCAGGACUCGGUGGAUGGGCUGCCGGCAGACCGGUGUGGCUCAGACCUGGUGACUUUUUGGAGAGGUCGUAGAAUGAGGACAGCAGACACACGAGGACCUUGACUUCGGCGCACAGACAGUGCAAAAAGGAGACAAAGACGGACAGAAUCAAAAAAGAGCGUAUUUCCCCCUCCUACGUAUUUGUUUUUCCUGAUAGUCUCACAAAGCUGAGAGUCUGGUCCGGUCCAGCGGGUUAUCUUGUGGCACUGGCUGUCUCCAGUGGCUGUGCCUGCGCUUUGAGG